AUUGAACGCUGGCGGCAGGCCUAACACAUGCAAGUCGAACGAGUGGCGGACGGGUGAGUAAUGUCUGGGAAACUGCCCGAUGGAGGGGGAUAACUACUGGAAACGGUAGCUAAUACCGCAUACCAUCGGAUGUGCCCAGAUGGGAUUAGCUUGUAGGUGAGGUAACGGCUCACCUGGGCGACGAUCCCUAGCUGGUCUGCGGGGAUGACCAGCAACAGUGGAACUGAGACACGGUCCGGACUCCUACGGUGGGCAGCAGUGGGGAAUAUUGCACAAUGGUCGGAAGCCUGAUGAAGCCAGGCGGCGUGUAUGAAGAGGGCCUUCGGGUUGUAAAGUACUUUCAGCGGGGAGGCGUUACCCGCAGAUGAAGCACCGGCUAACUCCGUGCCAGCAGCCGCGGUAAUUC
rnacentral:rRNA from 1 species